GCACUGGUGGUGUAGUGGUUAAGCGCACAACCAUGUGCAGAGGCUAUAGUCCUCGAUGUGGCCAUCCUGGGUUCGAGUCCUGGACCUGGUGACCU